GCAAUCUAAAAAUUACCUUCGGAACGGGUGAGUAACACGUGGGCCAACCUGCCUGUAACCACUGGGAUAACUUCGGGAAACCGAGGCUAAUACCGGAUAAUCCUUUUUCUCACAUGAGGGAAAGCUGAAAGACGGCGUAAGCUGUCACUUACAGAUGGGCCCGCGGCGCAUUAUCUAUUUGGUGAGGUAACGGCUCACCAAGGCGACGAUGCGUAGCCGACCUGAGAGGGUGAUCGGCCACACUGGGACUGAGACACGGCCCAGACUCCUACGGGAGGCAGCAGUAUGGGAAUCUUCCGCAAUGGACGAAAGUCUGACGGAGCAACGCCGCGUGAGUGAUGAAGGCUUUCGGGUCCUAAAACUCUGU
rnacentral:rRNA from 1 species